AUAUGAUGAAACUUUCAGCUGGCACCAGUCAUAGGGCGAUUUGUACUCCCUUCCCUUGAUGACAAACUCUUGCUGUGGUCCACCAGGCCAUAUCUGAC
rnacentral:snoRNA from 1 species